CGAGCUCUUCGGAGCUAGCGGCGGACGGGUUAGUAACGCGUGGGAACGUGCCCUUCACUGCGGAAUAGCCACUGGAAACGGUGAGUAAUACCGCAUACGCCCUUCGGGGGAAAGAUUUAUCGGUGAAGGAUCGGCCCGCGUUAGAUUAGAUAGUUGGUGGGGUAACGGCCUACCAAGUCUACGAUCUAUAGCUGGUUUUAGAGGAUGAUCAGCAACACUGGGACUGAGACACGGCCCAGACUCCUACGGGAGGCAGCAGUGGGGAAUCUUGGACAAUGGGCGCAAGCCUGAUCCAGCCAUGCCGCGUGAGUGAUGAAGGCCUUAGGGUCGUAAAGCUCUUUCGCCAGAGAUGAUAAUGACAGUAUCUGGUAAAGAAACCCCGGCUAACUCCGUGCCAGCAGCCGCGGUAAUACGGAGGGGGUUAGCGUUGUUCGGAAUUACUGGGCGUAAAGCGCACGUAGGCGGAUCAGAAAGUUGGGGGUGAAAUCCCGGGGCUCAACCCCGGAACUGCCUCCAAAACUCCUGGUCUUGAGUUCGAGAGAGGUGAGUGGAAUUCCGAGUGUAGAGGUGAAAUUCGUAGAUAUUCGGAGGAACACCAGUGGCGAAGGCGGCUCACUGGCUCGAUACUGACGCUAAGGUGCGAAAGUGUGGGGAGCAAACAGGAUUAGAUACCCUGGUAGUCCACACCGUAAACGAUAAAUGCCAGUCGUCGGGUAGCAUGCUAUUCGGUGACACACCUAACGGAUUAAGCAUUCCGCCUGGGGAGUACGGUCGCAAGAUUAAAACUCAGAGGAAUUGACGGGGGCCCGCACAAGCCGUGGAGCAUGUGGUUUAAUUCGAAGCAACGCGCAGAACCUUACCAACCCUUGA
rnacentral:rRNA from 1 species